ACCCACUCGGGCUGUUUCUCCCUGUCCCUUACACUUUGGUCAGUCCUUCAGCUCUACUUGGCUCCUAACUUGGCUCCUAAAUUGAAUCUCUAUGAUCUAGAGGAUGAUAAUAAUUGAAAUACUACUCCUGACCUGACUAUUUUCUCAGGCUUCCAUCUUGUUUUUCUCUUCACUUAGGUAUGAGUUUUGGCAAAUUACUAAGCCUCUCUGUAUGGAGUUUCCACAUUUGUCCCUACAGCUCAUAGAUUAUUUGUGAGAAUUUAAAUGAAAUAUUGCAUGUUAAGCCUUUACCACUAUGUCCAGUACAGAGUAAAUCUGGAGCACGUGCCAGCUAUUGUAUCAUAAUAUAGGGGAUGUAUUAUUAUG
rnacentral:lncRNA from 10 species